rnacentral:lncRNA from 1 species
UUGGUCUAGUUUGUCGAUCGUCAGGGAGCCCCUCAAUUCGUCGCUUCGAGCGGAGAUCUGGAAGCACCGACGAGCGAGCUGUUGGUCUCCGCGCAUCUCUCCGACUCCAUUUUCGGUCGAAAAUCGAACCAAGAGAUGGUACGUCGAGACAAUCGCCUUAAGGGCGUUUAGUCCGGGUCAUCCAAGUAUGGCGUUAUAGGCCGAGGGCACUUGGACGACCGCAAAAGUCAAAGGAACCGUGCUUUGUCGUGGUUCGGUGCCGACCGUCACGGGCAGGGUAAUUUCUCCUUCC